CCUACGGGUGGCAGCAGUGAGGAAUAUUGGUCAAUGGACGAGAGUCUGAACCAGCCAAGUAGCGUGAAGGAUGACUGCCCUAUGGGUUGUAAACUUCUUUUAUACAGGAAUAAAACGAGGCACGUGUGCCUUUUUGCAUGUACUUUAUGAAUAAGGAUCGGCUAACUCCGUGCCAGCAGCCGCGGUAAUACGGAGGAUCCGAGCGUUAUCCGGAUUUAUUGGGUUUAAAGGGAGCGUAGAUGGGUUGUUAAGUCAGUUGUGAAAGUUUGCGGCUCAACCGUAAAAUUGCAAUUGAUACUGGCAGUCGUGAGUACAGUUGAGGUAAGCGGAAUUCGUGGUGUAGCGGUGAAAUGCUUAGAUAUCACGAAGAACCCCGAUUGCGAAGGCAGCUUACUAAACUGUGACUGACAUUGAUGCUCGAAAGUGUGGGUAUCAAACAGGAUUAGAUACCCGUGUAGUC
rnacentral:rRNA from 1 species